rnacentral:rRNA from 1 species
CCUACGGGAGGCAGCAGUGGGGAAUAUUGCACAAUGGGCGCAAGCCUGAUGCAGCGACGCCGCGUGCGGGAUGGAGGCCUUCGGGUUGUAAACCGCUUUUGUUCAAGGGCAAGGCACGGUCUUUGGCCGUGUUGAGUGGAUUGUUCGAAUAAGCGCCGGCUAACUACGUGCCAGCGGCCGCGGGAAUACGUUGGGUGCAAGCGUUAUCCGGGUUUAUUGGGCGUAAAGGGGUAGUAGACGGUUGGUCUCGUCGGUGGUGAAAGUCCAUCGCUUAACGGUGGAUCCGCGCCGGGUACGGGCGGGCUUGAGUGCGGUAGGGGAGACUGGAAUUCCCGGUGUAACGGUGGAAUGUGUAGAUAUCGGGAAGAACACCAAUGGCGAAGGCAGGUCUCUGGGCCGUUACUGACGCUGAGGAGCGAAAGCGUGGGGAGCGAACAGGAUUAGAUACCCCUGUAGUC